rnacentral:lncRNA from 1 species
GCCGCAGCUGCUGGUUGUUUUGUAUUCGCCACUCAGUCAGGGUUGCAACAACGCGCGGAUGGAGUGUGCGCAUUAAAGCGCCGAUUACAGCACGUACCCAUAUAGGCCACAAGGGUCUGGACAAAGUGCAGGCGCCUCAUUUCAAUGCUCGAACGCCCUACAGAAAACAUUCACCAACCACAACCACAACGGGAAGAAAUAAAAAAGGAAACAUAUUCAAGAGGCGAACUAUACUGCAAUACAUAGCGAGCGAACGGUGAAGACUCGGACUUUUUGACUUCAUCAGCGAGCGGAUCGACGGCGGUCGCUGGCGUGGAGCAGAAAUGCAGGACCACUGCCGAAGGCUCCCAAGGCCCUGUCUAGCCCUGCCGCUGAUACUGGGCGCCUUCGCUUGCUACCUCAUUGUAAACAAACAGAGCCAGAUAAAGGCCACGUGGUAUUACCGA